AGAAGUUUCUGGUGAUGUAACACACAAUACAGACCAAGCCUUCACUUAUCAAGGUUAAAGUUGACGGAGCCUGUAUGAACUUGUCAAUCAUAGGAAGCAGGCAAAAACAAGCCAGCUGUUGUGAGGCAUGGCUUUGAAAAUCCUCUGCGUUACAGUAAAUGAGACGCAGAGGUUGCGAGGGAUUCAGUGCUGUGGGGCUUUCAAACGGGCUGGCACAUUUGCAGGGAUGCAAAGCUCACGUAUCCAGUGACUGUGGAUAAACAUCUGUAAAUCCUGGUAAGGCUGCCUUACGCUUCGUGCUGGCGCGUUAGAGAGGCGGCGAGAUGCACGAGCCUUAAUUAUCUCUCCCCCUCGGUUCUGGACGGAAGAUUGCAGUAUGUAUUCAUACAGUAUUUCUUUUGUUCUCCAGGGCUUUGAGUACACGCUGUCUGCUGUCCCUAUCAGCAGAAGCUACAGUAACAAAUUAGGAGCGGUGCAGCGCUGGGCACAGGCUUGUGUUUUGCUUGGUAGGAACGCCUGCUGUAUUCGCUGGUGUUUCAGGAGAACGGGGGGGAAAGCGUGCGCUGAUUCCAGCUAGGAUGCUCUGCGUGCAUGUGCUCGCGCACACGCGCUGCUUUUAGCAGCUUUUGUUUUCACAGUUGGCAUAAUGCACAGGGGAUGAGAGGGCAGCGCCGCUCAGAAGCCUUCGCUUUCUGCUCUGAGGGCUGCGGAGCUGCGUGCUGUGUGCUGCCUGGGGUGCCAGGCUCGGGGCUCCUCUCGGCGAGGGGUGGUGCGAGAGCUUUUCAUCGUGUCGUUUUCCUGGCAAGCGUGUGGCUGUGAGUGCCGGCUCGCACGAAGACCUUUCCUCAGCAGCAGGAGAUAGGGGCUGGGAGCGUAAGAGAAUCGGAUGUGACUACUGGAAGCAAGGGGUUCUUGCCACUGUGUCCUCCCGCGGCUUGAAGCUUGCUUUCUUUUCCUCCUUUCUGAACACUUCUUUUCUAAGCUCACAGUGUCUCUUCAGCCUCCUUUAAGCAGAGAGCAAACCUGUCUCCUUUCAGGGCUCCAGAG